rnacentral:rRNA from 1 species
CCGCCCCAGUUCGGAUUGGAGGCUGCAACCCGCCUCCAUGAAGUCGGAAUCGCUAGUAAUCGCGGAUCAGCUACGCCGCGGUGAAUAUGUUCCUGAGCCUUGUACACACCGCCCGUCAAGUCAUGGGAGCUGGCAGUGCCCGAAGUCGCCUCGAUUCAGGGGUGCCCACGGCAAGGCUGGUGACUGGGACUAAGUCGUAACAAGGUAGCCGUAGGGGAACCUGCGGCUGGAUCACCUCCUUU